UUUGAACUCAUUGUUCACUUAAUUUGGAAGGACCUGCGAGCGAGAGAGAGAGGUGGGCGUGAGAGUGAGAGACAGUCGAGGGCGCGAUAGAUAGCGAGAGCGAGCUUUGCUGUGGGAGAAACAAAGAGAGUGCGAGAGGUGCAAGAGAGAGAGGGUUAGUAGGGUUUGCUUUUGCACAUAAAAAAUGAGAGUGAGCUUAUAACCCACUGUAGUAGAGAUUAAAUAUCAGCCGUUGGAUCUUUAUGGUGUAGGAUAUACUCCCACCUAAGGGUGUUCUGGUAGACUUUCUCCUAUCGAGCUAUGCUACUGGUACAACCCCAUGUGGGUUGUACAUCCGACAACUUUUAGAUCUAAAGGCUAAAAUUAAUUUGAUUUAGAAAAAAAGAUAAAAAGUGUUAAGUUCACUCCCCUUUUUUGUCUCUAAUUGUUUCCCUUUUUGUUUUUUGUCCCUCACACGUUCCCUCUUUGUUUUUUGUCCUUCACGCUGUCGCUCUGUGAUGCUUCUGUAGCCUGCAAGCGAGAGAGAGAGAGAAAAGAGCGCAAGCGAGAGAGAUGCGAGGGGGCGAGAGAGAGCGAGAGCGAGCUGUGCUGUGCGAGAAACAGAGAGAGAGCGAAUACAGAGAAAGAGAGCACGAAGCCGGAUUCUAACAAGAAACUGGAUUCUACCAGCUCCCUCCUCUUUUCUCUGUCUCUACUGUCUCUCUCCUUCUCUUCUUCCAUCAUUCUCUCAUUUUUCGGCGAACUCAUAUCGUGCGGCCAUCCUGACGGUCUCUUCCUUCAUUUUUGGCUGGAGUUGUAAAGCUGCGAUACUUAGCCCAACCCGCGUGUACGCCCCACACGAAACCAGCCGUGAGUAAAUUGUAAUUUUUUUCUCUAAUUUGAACGCAUUUUGUCAUUUGAGCUAAUUAAAAAGUCAUUGCUUCAUUUGAACUCAUUGAUUCACUUAAUUUGGAGGGACCUGCGAGCGAGAAAGAGAGAGGAGAGCGCGAGAGCGAGAGAAAGGCGAGGGCGCGAUAGAGGGCGAGAGCGAGCUGUGCUGUGUGAGAAACAGAGAGAGUGUGAGAGGUGCGAGAGAGAGAGGGUUAGUAGGGUUUGCUUUUGCCCAUAAAAAAUGGGUGUGGGCUUAUAACCAACUUUAGCAUAGAUUAAAUAUCAGCCGUUGGAUCUUUAUGGUGUAGGAUAUACUCCCACCCAUAGGUGUCCUGGUAGACUUUCUCCUAUCGAGCUAUGCUACUGGUACAGCCCGAUUGGGUUGUACAUUCACAACUUUUAGAUCUAAAGGCUGAAAUUAAUUUGAUUUAGAAAAAAAGAUAAAAAGUGUUAAGUUCAUUCCCCUUUUUUGUCUCUCACACUUUCCCUCUUUGUUUUUUAUACCUCACACUUUCCCUCUUUGUUUUUUGUUUUUUACACUUUCGCUCUUUGUUGCUUCUGUGGCCUGCUAGUGAGAGAAAGAGAGGACAGCUCGAGCGAGAGAGAGGCGAGGGCGCAUGAGAAAGCGAGAGUGAGCUGUGCUGUGCGUGAAAUAGAGAGAGAGGGAGAGACAGAGAAAGCGAGCACGAAGCCGGAUUCUACCAAGAAACUGGAUUCUUCCAGCACCCUCAUCUUUUCCUCGUUUCUACUUUCUCUCUCCUUCUUUUCUUCCAUCAUUCUCCAAUUUUUCGACGAACUCAUGUCGUGCGGCCAUCCUAACGGUCUCUUCCUCCACUUUCGGCUGGAGUUGUAAAUCUGCGAUGCUCAGCCCUAUUCGCGCGUUCUCCCUACACGAAGCGAGAAGUGAGUAAAUUGUAAUUUUUUUCCUUUAAUUUGAAUGCAUUUUCUCAUUUAAGCUAAUUAAGAAGUCAUUGCUUCAUUUGAACUCAUUGUUCACUUAAUUUAGAAGGACCUGUGCGUGAGAGAGAGAGGAGGGCGUGAGAGCGAGAGAGAGGCGAAGGCGCGAUAGAGAGCGAGAGCGAGCUUUGCUGUCGGAGAAACAGAGAGAGUGCGAGAGGUGCGAGAGAGAGAGGGUUAGUAGGGUUUGCUUUUGCACAUAAAAAAUGGGAGUGGGCUUAUAACCCACUUUAGUAGAGAUUAAAUAUCAGCCGUUGGAUCUUUAUGGUGUAGGAUAUACUCCCACCCAUAGGUGUCCUAGUAGACUUUCUCCUAUCGAGCUAUGCUACUGGUACAACCCCAUGUGGAUUUUACAUCCGACAACUUUUAGAUCUAAAGGCUGAAAUUAAUUUGAUUUAAAAAAAAAAGACAAAAAGUGUUAAGUUCACUCCCCUUUUUUGUCUCUCACAGUUUCCCUCUUUGUUUUUGUCCCUCGCACUUUCCCUAUUUGUUUUUUGUCCCUUACGCUUUCGCUCUUUGUUGCUUCUGUAGCCUGCGAGCGAGAGAAAGAGAGGAGAGCGCGAGCGAGAGAGAGGUGAGGGCGCAUGAGAGAGCGAGAGUGAGCUGUAUUGUGCGAGAAACAGAGAGAGAGGGAGAGACAGAGAAAGAGAGCACGAAGCCGGAUUCUAGCAUAAAACUGGAUUCUACUAGCACCCUCCUCUUUUCCUCGUUUCUACUUUCUCUCUCCUUUUUUUCUUCCAUCAUUCUCCCAUUUUUCGGCGAACUCAUGUCGUGCGGCCAUCCUAACAGUCUAUUCCUCCAUUUUUGGCUGGAGUUGUAAAGCUGCGAUGCUUAGCCCUAUUCGCGCGUUCUCCCUACACGAAGCCAGAAGUGAGUAAAUUGUAAUUUUUUUCCUUUAAUUUGAACGCAUUUUCUCAUUGAAGCUAAUUAAGAAGUCAUUGCUUCAUUUGAAUUCAUUGUUCACUUAAUUUGGAAGGACUUGCGAGCGAGAGAGAGAGGAAGGCGUGAGAGCGAGAGAGAGGCGAGGGCGCGAUAGAGAGCGAGAGCGAGCUUUGCUGUGGGAGAAACAGAGAGAGUGCGAGAGUUGCGAGAGAGAGGGGGUUAGUAGGGUUUACUUUUGCACAUAAAAAAAGGGAGUGAGUUAUAACCCAAUGUAGUAGAGAUUAAAUAUCAGCCAUUGGAUCUUUAUGGUGUAGAAUAUACUUCCACCCUAGGGUAUACUGGUAGACUUUCUCCUAUCG
rnacentral:lncRNA from 1 species